AUGGACAAAAAGAAACCCGAAGACCUCCUCUGGGCAAUUUUUCCGAUGUUUAUAAUCAACACAUUCACUGGAAUAUCACCUUUUGCUGUCGAGCGGAAUGCAAAACCCAGGAGAUGGACCGUCACUCUUCAUUACCUUUUGUUUACCGUCCUCGUUUUCGUUUCUGCCUACAGUUGUAUUGGAUUUACGAUGGAAUACACUUUAUAUGACCAAUCCGGAAGCGAGACUAAAUAUGUAAGGUUGAUUUGGUCUGAGACCGAUUUUGUUGCUGGCUGUCUGUGUGCUUAAAUUCACCUUCUGAAGCAACGAAGAGUUCGAAGAGUUUUUCUGGAUUUGGUGCAAUUGGGGGAAACGCUUCCCGAGGCAGCGCAGUAUGCGCCACGCAUUCGAAGAUCAAUUCAGAUUCAGUCCGUUAUAUUCCUUUUGAUGCCCCUCAACUCGGCCGUGGUUUCGUUUAUGAUAAGCAAACUGUUCGGAUUCUCAACGACCGAAAUACACAUGCUUUUCACUCAGUAUUUCUUUUUGGUGCACACGCAAUCUGUUUGGCAGUUUUACGUGGCCGUUUUCCUUCUCCGAAAAUGUUUCGCCGCACUGAACUUUGGAACUCAAUCGUUGAUCUCGGAAUCGAUCCUCAGAGUGAGGCAUUACCACCGACAACCAUCGCUCUCCGAAGACGUCUCGCUGCUGAAAAAAGUGCAUCUUCGAGUGUGUGAAGCAUCAAAAUCCGCCGCAUCCGUGUACGGGAUUCAAAUUGUUCUCCUCGCUUUUUAUAAUGUUUCAAGUCUAUGCUUUUCUUUGUACUCAUGUGUUGACACUAAAGUUUUCCACAUAAGUGACGAAUUCGAUCUACUACUGAGAAUCAAUCUAUCUUUUUGGAUUAUAGCUCAUUCCGCCUUGCUGUUACUGGUGGCAAACGCGGCUGAGAAGCUUUAUGCACAGAUGGCAGCCACUGUGGUGACGUAUCUCGUUAUUCUGGUGCAGUUCCAGGAGUCUGAGAAAGCAGUCACAAAACUAUCUUGCAAUUGCUCCCACAAUAUUCUUGCUGAAUAUGGAACCAUGUGA